GUGCUUGCUUGGGCAGCACAUAUACUAAAAUUGGAACG
rnacentral:snRNA from 1 species